rnacentral:rRNA from 1 species
UACGAAGGGUGCAAACGUUGCUCGGAAUUACUGGGCGUAAAGCGUGCGCAGGCGGCCUUGCAAGACAGAUGUGAAAUCCCCGGGCUCAACCUGGGAACUGCAUUUGUGACUGCAAGGCUAGAGUACGGCAGAGGGGGAUGGAAUUCCGCGUGUAGCAGUGAAAUGCGUAGAUAUGCGGAGGAACACCGAUGGCGAAGGCAAUCCCCUGGGCCUGUACUGACGCUCAUGCACGAAAGCGUGGGGAGCAAACAGG